rnacentral:rRNA from 1 species
AGCAGCCGCGGUAAUUCCAGCUCCAAUAGCGUAUAUUAAAGUUGUUGCAGUUAAAAGCUCGUAGUUGAAUUUCGGGAUCAAUAUAUCGGUCGUGCCUUUGGUACGUACUGGUAUCAUUGAUUUCUCCUUUCUGACGAAUCAUGAUGUCAUUAAUUUGGUGUUAUGAGGAGUUAGGACUGUUACUUUGAAAAAAUUAGAGUGUUUAAAGCAGGCAUUAGCUUGAAUACAUUAGCAUGGAAUAAUGAAAUAGGACGUUUGACCCUAUUUUGUUGGUUUUUAGGAUCGACGUAAUGAUUAAUAGGGAUAGUUGGGGGGCAUUAGUAUUCAAUUGUCAGAGGUGAAAUUCUUGGAUUUAUUGAAGACUAACUACUGCGAAAGCAUUUGCCAAGGAUGUUUUCAUUAAUCAAGAACGAAAGUUAGGGGAUCGAAGACGAUCAGAUACCGUCGUAGUCUUAACCAUAAACUAUGCCGACUAGGGAUCGGAUGAUGUUAAUUUUAUAAUGACUCAUUCGGCGCCUUA